AGAGUUUGAUCCUGGCUCAGGACGAACGCUGGCGGCGCGCCUAACACAUGCAAGUCGAACGGAGAUUACAGGCGGAAGUUUUCGGAUGGAAGCUUGUAAACUUAGUGGCGGACGGGUGAGUAACACGUGAGCAACCUGCCUAUCAGAGGGGGAUAACGAUUGGAAACGAUCGCUAAUACCGCAUGACAUAGCGGAAUCGCAUGGUUCUGUUAUCAAAGAUUUUAUCGCUGAUAGAUGGGCUCGCGUCCGAUUAGAUAGUUGGUGGGGUAACGGCCUACCAAGUCGACGAUCGGUAGCCGGACUGAGAGGUCGAACGGCCACAUUGGGACUGAGACACGGCCCAGACUCCUACGGGAGGCAGCAGUGGGGGAUAUUGCACAAUGGGGGAAACCCUGAUGCAGCGACGCCGCGUGGAGGAAGAAGGUUUUCGGAUUGUAAACUCCUGUCGUUAGGGACGAUAAUGACGGUACCUAACAAGAAAGCACCGGCUAACUACGUGCCAGCAGCCGCGGUAAAACGUAGGGUGCAAGCGUUGUCCGGAAUUACUGGGUGUAAAGGGAGCGCAGGCGGACCGGCAAGUUGGAAGUGAAAACUAUGGGCUCAACCCAUAAAUUGCUUUCAAAACUGCUGGCCUUGAGUAGUGCAGAGGUAGGUGGAAUUCCCGGUGUAGCGGUGGAAUGCGUAGAUAUCGGGAGGAACACCAGUGGCGAAGGCGACCUACUGGGCACCAACUGACGCUGAGGCUCGAAAGCAUGGGUAGCAAACAGGAUUAGAUACCCUGGUAGUCCAUGCCGUAAACGAUGAUUACUAGGUGUUGGAGGAUUGACCCCUUCAGUGCCGCAGUUAACACAAUAAGUAAUCCACCU
rnacentral:rRNA from 1 species